GACGUUGGUCCUACAGAGCCAGAAGGACUCGUCAUGUGAGAUAACAAGGGCUGAAGCCAGUUGGAUCUAAAGUGCCAAGUUAUUCGUUAUCAGGUGUUCCUGGACAGUUUUGAAACCGAGAUGUCUGAACGCCUCAAAUAAUCAGCAGUAAAGACAACAGAGACAAAUUCUCUAAUACCAAGGUCAAUGCAUUUGACUGCUGUCCAGCCCUGGGUUGCCACCGAAAACUUUAUGCAUCUUGGACUGGAAGAUGGUGUGCUAGUAAGGAAGCUAGCUACCACAGCUUUUGCCACCACAUCUCAGUGUUGGGAGGGAAGUUCACUCAGUGCACAACUCUACCAGCUGUACCUUUCCUCCUCAGCCAUGAUCCGUAACCACCAUGGUUUUCUUUCUGGGCCAGAAGACUUUGCAAACAAAUAAGCAAUA